rnacentral:rRNA from 1 species
AUGAACGCUGGCGGCGUGCCUAAUACAUGCAAGUCGAGCGAACAGACGAGGAGCUUGCUCCUCUGACGUUAGCGGCGGACGGGUGAGUAACAUGUGGAUAACCUACCUAUAAGACUGGGAUAACUUCGGGAAACCGGAGCUAAUACCGGAUAAUAUAUUGAACCGCAUGGUUCAAUAGUGAAAGACGGUUUUGCUGUCACUUAUAGAUGGAUCCGCGCCGCAUUAGCUAGUUGGUAAGGUAACGGCUUACCAAGGCAACGAUGCGUAGCCGACCUGAGAGGGUGAUCGGCCACACUGGAACUGAGACACGGUCCAGACUCCUACGGGAGGCAGCAGUAGGGAAUCUUCCGCAAUGGGCGAAAGCUUGACGGAGCAACGCCGCGUGAGUGAUGAAGGUCUUCGGAUCGUAAAACUCUGUUAUUAGGGAAGAACAAAUGUGUAAGUAACUAUGCACGUCUUGACGGUACCUAAUCAGAAAGCCACGGCUAACUACGUG